UACGAAGGGGGCUAGCGUUGCUCGGAAUCACUGGGCGUAAAGCGCACGUAGGCGGAUUGUUAAGUCAGGGGUGAAAUCCUGGAGCUCAACUCCAGAACUGCCUUUGAUACUGGCGAUCUCGAGUCCGGGAGAGGUGAGUGGAACUGCGAGUGUAGAGGUGAAAUUCGUAGAUAUUCGCAAGAACACCAGUGGCGAAAGCGGCUUCCUGGACCAGUACCGACGUUCAGGCACGAAAGCGUGGGGAGCAAACAGG
rnacentral:rRNA from 1 species